AGGAAGUAUGUUCCCAAGGAUGAAACUCAGAGGAAUAGAUGUGGGCUCACACAAGUGGUGGAGCAUGUGGUUUAAUCGAUGUAAAGCGAAGAACCUUAGAUAUGCCGUGAAUCCUCUUAGAAGAGAAGAGUGCCUUCGGUAAUGCUGACACAGGUGGUGCAUGGCUGUCAUUAGCUUGUGUUGUAAUGUGUUGGGUUAAGUCCCGUAACAAGCCCAAUCUUUGUGGAAGUAGUUUCCAAUGUUGAGUUUGGAGCCCUGAGCAAACUACUGGUGAUAAGUCGGAGGAAGGUGAGGAUGACGUCAAGUUAUCAUGUCCCUUAUACCCUGGGUGUCAAGAUUUUUUAAGAUUUCAACGAAAAGGAUCGGUAAACUUUAGUAAACUUGGCUGAUUUUCAACCUUCGAAUCAUGAUAUAAAAUGAAUCAAGUUAAUAAGGUAUAAUAUAAAUUCAUUUAAAAUAAGAAAACAAAUACUAAAUCAAGCCCUAAACA
rnacentral:ncRNA from 1 species